rnacentral:tRNA from 1 species
GGAAGCGCUUGCUUGCCUGGUGGCGGCCGCGGUCUUCAAAACCGUUGGGACGUGCGUCAAACGUGGGUCCGGUGGGUUCGAUUCCCAUGCGCUUCCGC